GUGGCGUGUAGCUCUCGGCCCCAGUGGAUGCCGCCGGGUGGCGGCGGGAAGGCACGGCUGUUCUCCUCCGGGGCUGCGCGGUCGGAGAGCCCCGAUCAGUAGGAUGAAAAAUGAAUGCGGAUGAAGCUACUACCCUUCCAAAGCUAUGAUUCUCAAGAUAACUAUUAAUUUAGUGGAGGAAAAAUCCACACAUACCCCCAUCCCAAUCCCCCAGAUUUUCUUCAACAUGCCGCUUCUGUUCUUGGAAGAGUUAACUGCCUCGAUUCUGCAUAAGAGUCCCAAACACUGAGAACUAGGGUGUCUUCCCCUUCCUUUCCUUCCAAAAAGGCCAGCAGCCUCAAGCAAGCCAAAGUCCUUUCCUCUUGAAUGCGUAGUCUUGUGAACUCCACUGUCUUCACAAACUCAGCAGCUGGUGGAAGCUCUCUGAAGAACUGAGACAGGAGGUGGCACUGCUCUGACACCAUCCUUUGAAGGUGACAGAGCAUCUCAGGGCUUGGGGGACGCCAGCCGGACUUUGAGAGGAGACAGAAGAGGUGCUUGCAGAGGUAUUUCACAAAGAUCAGGGUCUCGGCCCAAAAGUUGACUUCUGCUUUUUCAAACAGGUAGUCUUCUUCCACCUAAAUCAGAUGAAAAAGCCGAAAGUCAGUCUUACAGGGAAUGGUGACAAGCCCCAGUCCAGACCAAGCAGUACCCUGCCAGAUGCAAGAGGGGUUUCCCUUCCCCCACCUGACAGAGGGUGCACUCUUGCCUGUCAACAUCCAUGUACACACACCACUUGCAGCCUUGAAGGUCACCUUCUAUUUUCACUCACUGUAUUUCUCCACCAGAGAGGAAUUUUUUCCCCAGACUUAACAUGACCUUGGAUAAAGAUGUGUUUGUGGUUCAAAGUCAAGAUACUUUGGGGGAUGGAUGCUGAAAAGGGGACUUCAACAAGGGAGUGGGCUCUAGAGUUUAAGGUGCAGCUGGAAAUUGGAGAGGAGGGAGGAAAGGUCAUCUCUGCAGCAGGCCAGAGAGGAAGGAAUCUCCAAACACAGGACACUAGGCUGUGUCCUGUUUCUAUAACACUGUGAUUCUCAAGGUCCUUUUGUCAGACACUUACCAUGUCUCCAAAUUUCUCAUAAAGAGGGACAAUGCGUUUUGAACCCUUGGCCUGCUGGGGAUGCCAAGAAGGCCAGCUGAGUCAGAUGCUGGUGGCGAUCAAUUUCAGUUCUCAGGAUGCUUUUGCUGCUUGUCUUUGUCCUCAGUUUCCCUAUCUGUGACUGCACCCACCCUGGAGGGGGCUAAUAAUAGUUUUCUUCAAGCAGGAAGUUCCCAGCAAAGAUCCUAAUUCUCUGAAAAUGCUUCACCCUCAGACCUAACUUUGGGAAGCCCCAGGCUAACUCCAAUACUGACUAACAAGCAGUCUCCAUAAUAAAACUCUCCGCAUCCAGGGGCUUCUUUUUUUCUUUUCUUUUCUUUUCUUUUUUUUUUGAGAUGGAGUCUUGCUCUGUUGCCCAGGCUGGAGUGCAGUGGUGCAAUCUCGGCUCACUGCAACCUCCGCCUCCCAGGUUC
rnacentral:lncRNA from 1 species